rnacentral:lncRNA from 1 species
CUAGUGGCGGCACCGCCCUCAAACGCCGACAGUGUCAGGAGGCGCAACUCUCCCUUUCCGUUUGCCUCGCUUCCCAUCAGGACCCUUCCUGAAUUGAAAAGAAGAAUCGCAAAGCCCUUUUGAUUUCUUCUCCUUCUUCUUGUAGGUGCAGUUUUCGUUAUAAUUUUCAUUUUUCAUGAAUAUAUAUCUUAGCAAAUUUGUUCCAGAACAAAAUUUAAUGAUUGUAAAAAUAUUGUGUGUUAUAUAAGUGGUUCAAUAUCUUUGUUUGCAUAAUUUAUAAAUAAAAUAAAACCAAACCUGUAUAAUCUAUUUUUCUAUUUCAAUAAUGGUCUUUUUCCUGAGAUUUUGAGAGUUUUACUUCUCCUCCUUAUGCUUUUGUUUGCAACUCGUUACAACCAUCUGUGACUUUGAAGUCUUUGUUCCACCAGAGGAUGACAGAACAUCUCCUUUUUCAUUUGAAUUGUCAGCUGCCCACAUGGAGUUCCUCGGUUCAUCUACUAGCCGGUAUCAAAACUGAAACUUCGCUUGUACUAUCUUUUUUUUCUUGUUGGGUCUUUACAGC